CCUGGUGUAGCGGUGAAAUGCGCAGAUAUCAGGAGGAACACCGGUGGCGAAGGCGGAUCUCUGGGCCGAUACUGACGCUGAGGAGCGAAAGCGUGGGGAGCGAACAGGAUUAGAUACCCUGGUAGUCCACGCCGUAAACGGUGGGCACUAGGUGUGGGCAACAUUCCACGUUGUCCGUGCCGCAGCUAACGCAUUAAGUGCCCCGCCUGGGGAGUACGGCCGCAAGGCUAAAACUCAAAGGAAUUGACGGGGGCCCGCACAAGCGGCGGAGCAUGUGGCUUAAUUCGACGCAACGCGAAGAACCUUACCAAGGCUUGACAUACACCGGAAACGGCCAGAGAUGGUCGCCCCCUUGUGGUCGGUGUACAGGUGGUGCAUGGCUGUCGUCAGCUCGUGUCGUGAGACGUUGGGUUAAGUCCCGCAACGAGCGCAACCCUUGUCCCGUGUUGCCAGCAGGCCCUUGUGGUGCUGGGGACUCACGGGAGACCGCCGGGGUCAACUCGGAGGAAGGUGGGGACGACGUCAAGUCGUCAUGCCCCUUAUGUC
rnacentral:rRNA from 1 species